GUACGUGCUUCCGCGUUCGGGCACAAGCCCUUCGGGCUUCCAGCCAAGCGCUGCAAGCACGU
rnacentral:tRNA from 1 species